UGAGGAAUAUUGGUCAAUGGACGCAAGUCUGAACCAGCCAAGUAGCGUGCAGGAUGACGGCCCUAUGGGUUGUAAACUGCUCUUAUAUGGGGAUAAAGUGGGGAACGUGUUCCCUUUUGCAGGUACCAUAUGAAUAAGGACCGGCUAAUUCCGUGCCAGCAGCCGCGGUAAUACGGAAGGUUCGGGCGUUAUCCGGAUUUAUUGGGUUUAAAGGGAGCGUAGGCCGUUUGGUAAGCGUGUUGUGAAAUGUAGGAGCUCAACUUCUAGAUUGCAGCGCGAACUGUCAGACUUGAGUGCGCACAACGUAGGCGGAAUUCAUGGUGUAGCGGUGAAAUGCUUAGAUAUCAUGAAGAACUCCGAUUGCGAUGGCAGCUUACGGGAGCGCAACUGACGCUGAAGCUCGAAGGUGCGGGUAUCGAACAGG
rnacentral:rRNA from 1 species